GCACAAGCGGUGGAGCAUGCUCUUUAAUUGGCUGAUAACCCAAGAACCUUACCAGGGCUUGACAUGCAUAAAGUAGUGAACCGAAAGGGGAACGACCGGUAUCCAGUCCGGAGUUUGCACAGGUGUUGCAUGGCUGUCGUCAGUUCGUACCGUGAGGCGUACCCUUAAGUGGGUUAACGAACGCAACCCCUACUAUCAGUUGUAUCACUCUGAUGGAACUGCCUCGGCAACGAGGAGGAAGGUGGGGAUGACGUCAAGUCAGUAUUGCUCUUACGCUCUGGGCUAGAAGCAUGCUACAAUGGGGGCGACAACGCGACGCGAAGAGGCGACUCGGAGCAAAUCGCUAAACGCUCUCUCAGUUCGGAUUGGAGUCUGCAAUUCGACUCCAUGAAGUUGGAAUCGCUAGUAAUCGGCGGUCAGCUACACGCCGGUGAAUACGUUCUCGGGUCUU
rnacentral:rRNA from 1 species